rnacentral:rRNA from 1 species
GAGUGAACGCUGGCGGUAGGCCUAACACAUGCAAGUCGAACGGCAGCACAGUAAGAGCUUGCUCUUACGGGUGGCGAGUGGCGGACGGGUGAGGAAUACAUCGGAAUCUACUUUUUCGUGGGGUAUAACGUAGGGAAACUUACGCUAAUACCGCAUACGACCUACGGGUGAAAGCAGGGGAUCUUCGGACCUUGCGCGAUUGAAUGAGCCGAUGUCGGAUUAGCUAGUUGGCGGGGUAAAGGCCCACCAAGGCGACGAUCCGUAGCUGGUCUGAGAGGAUGAUAAGCCACACGGGAACUGAGACACGGUCCAGACUCCUACGGGAGGCAGCAGUGGGGAAUAUUGGACAAUGGGCGCAAGCAUGAUCCAGCCAUACCGCGUGGGUGAAGAAGGCCUUCGGGUUGUAAAGCCCUUUUGUUGGGAAAGAAAAGCAGCAGGUUAAGACCCCGCUGUUCUGACGGUACCCAAAGAAUAAGCACCGGCUAACUUCGUG